rnacentral:rRNA from 1 species
CCUACGGGUGGCAGCAGUCGAGAAUCAUUCACAAUGGGGGAAACCCUGAUGCAGCGACGCCGCGUGUGGGAAGACGGUCCUCUGGAUUGUAAACCACUGUCCCCAGGGACGAAGAUGACGGUACCUGGGGAGGAAGCUCCGGCUAACUACGUGCCAGCAGCCGCGGUAAUACGUAGGGAGCGAGCGUUGUCCGGAAUUACUGGGUGUAAAGGGAGCGUAGGCGGGGAUGCAAGUUGGGUGUCAAAACUACCGGCUCAACUGGUAGUCGCACUCAAAACUGCAGCUCUUGAGUGAAGUAGAGGCAGGCGGAAUUCCUAGUGUAGCGGUGAAAUGCGUAGAUAUUAGGAGGAACACCAGUGGCGAAGGCGGCCUGCUGGGCUUUUACUGACGCUGAGGCUCGAAAGUGUGGGGAGCAAACAGGAUUAGAUACCCGAGUAGUC